GGCCGACUAGCUCAGCUGGUUAGAGCGUCGUGCUAAUACUCUUUGAGUCUUGACGCGAAGGUCUUGGGUUCGAUCCCCACGUUGGCCA